rfam:Sphaerochaeta pleomorpha str. Grapes, complete genome.
AAUCAUGCGAGUGACUGUGUGAAGGAAGCCGGAGGCAAAAUCCCGGGCCAACGAACAGAAACUGGAUACAAGGCCGGUUGGCAGGACGAGUCUGCACAAAGUGAUGAAGUCCGACCGCGAAGUCAAAUUGGUAAAUCCAGUGGCUACAUGGGAUGAAAGUUAUUGUU